rnacentral:rRNA from 1 species
UGCCAGCAGCCGCGGUAAUACGGAGGGUGCAAGCGUUGUUCGGAUUUAUUGGGCGUAAAGGGCGUGUAGGCGGUUUGCCAAGCCUGAUGUGAAAGACCCCGGCUUAACCGGGGGAACGCGUUGGGAACUGGCAGACUAGAGUGUGAGAGGGGUAGUUGGAAUUCCAGGUGUAGGGGUGAAAUCUGUAGAUAUCUGGAAGAACACCGGUGGCGAAGGCGAACUACUGGCUAUACACUGACGCUGAGGCGCGAAAGUGUGGGGAGCGAACAGGAUUAGAUA